CAGCGCUCCACGCUGUCUUGGGAUCCAGCCUCGAGAUAGAAGCUAUGACUUCCUGGGGCUUGAAAGAUUACAUCAGAGCUGAAGCACCAGACCCCAAAC